rnacentral:lncRNA from 1 species
AGGCAACGCAGGUCCCUGAGCCAGUUCCACCCCAGCCCCGGAGGGAUUCUCAGGUCCCCUCCCCACAGCUCGCAGAAUUCCCUCUGUUUUCCCCUUGUGCUUUCUGGAGGAUUUUAUCCCUAGCUCUAGAACUGCCUUCCGCUAACUCUCUAGGUUUGCUUUGGGAGAUAACUUGUUUUGCUCCAAUCCGCAUUCCCUUUCCUUGACCAUCAUCAAUCGGAUGUUCUAGAUGACUGGAGUUUUGAGUUGGACUUUUGUGUCCCCGCCGUAAUGGGGCUUGAUCCUAGAGCACUGGGGGUCGGGUGGAGGUGUUACUGUAAAAUGCAAGUUGGAUAAAAGGAGGACCUCUCGCUAAGGGUCCCGAUGAGUGGCACACAGUCGACUAUCACGGACAGAUUUCCCCUCAAAAAACCUAUAAGGCACGGAAGUAUUUUGAACAGAGAGUCACCAACAGAUAAGAAGCAGAAAGUUGAAGGCGGUGCAUCACAGGUCUUGUUCAGCGUUGUGUAAUCAUCCAGAAAGGUGACAGUAGAUUUGGGCUGACAGUCAGUGGAGACAAUCAUUCAGUCUGUGAAAGAAGAUGGAGCAGCCAUGCGGCCUGGAGUACAGACAGGUGAUCGAAUCAUCAAGGUGAAUGGAACUCUGGUGACUCAUUCGAACCAUUUGGAGGUGGUGAAACUAAUCAAAUCUGGUUCUUAUGUAGCUCUCACUGUUCAGGGAUGCCCUCCUGGGUCGCCCCAGAUUCCACUUGCUGAAUCUGAAGUAGAACCAUCAGUCAUUGGACAUAAGACUCCCAUCAUGACAUCCCCUCACUCACCUGGAGCAUCUGGGACUAUGGAGCAAAUCACUAUUCCUAUGCUCAUGGGGGAAGAAAGUAAUGUGGUUCAUAACCAGAAAAAUGUUGCAGAAAGAACAGGAACGGCUACAGUUAUUGCAGGAAGAUUACAGCCGAACACCUGCCCAAAGAUUGCUAAAAGAGAUACAAG